rnacentral:rRNA from 1 species
UACGGAGGGUGCAAGCGUUAUCCGGAUUCACUGGGUUUAAAGGGUGCGUAGGUGGGUUGAUAAGUCAGUGGUGAAAUCUCCAGGCUUAACUUGGAAACUGCCAUUGAUACUAUCAAUCUUGAAUACCGUGGAGGUCAGCGGAAUAUGUCAUGUAGCGGUGAAAUGCUUAGAUAUGACAUAGAACACCAAUUGCGAAGGCAGCUGGCUACACGAAUAUUGACACUGAUGCACGAAAGCGUGGGGAUCAAACAGG